CGUAGGUGANCCUGCGGAAGGAUCAUUA
rnacentral:rRNA from 1 species